rnacentral:rRNA from 1 species
UACGUAGGGCGCAAGCGUUGUCCGGAAUUAUUGGGCGUAAAGAGCUCGUAGGCGGCUUGUCACGUCGGAUGUGAAAGCCCCGGGGCUUAACUCCGGGUCUGCAUUCGAUACGGGCUGGCUAGAGUGUGGUAGGGGAGAUCGGAAUUCCUGGUGUAGCGGUGAAAUGCGCAGAUAUCAGGAGGAACACCGGUGGCGAAGGCGGAUCUCUGGGCCAUUACUGACGCUGAGGAGCGAAAGCGUGGGGAGCGAACAGG